rnacentral:rRNA from 1 species
AAAACAUCUCUUUAUGAUUAAAAUAAUAAGUUGACUCUGCCCAAUGAUUAAUUGAAUGGCUGCAGUAUUUUAACUGUACAAAGGUAGCAUAAUUAAUUGUUUUUUAAAUGAAAUCUUGUAUGAAUGAGGUGAUGAAAUAUAUUCUUUAUUAAAUUUAGAUUUUGAAUUUAAAUUUAAAGUAAAAAUACUUUAAUAAUUUUAAGGGACGAGAAGACCCUAUAGAAUUUAAUAUAAAUAAUUUUUAUUAAUAAUUUAAAAAUUAAAUUAUAUUUAUUUGGGAGGAAUAUUAAAAUUAAAAAACUUUAAUUGAUUAUUUACGUGAAUUAGUGUAUUUAAUUUAGUAUUUUAAUAAUUAAGUUUAAAAUUAAAUUACCUUAGGGAUAACAGCGUAAUAUUUUUUAAAAGAUCAUAUUUAAAAAAAUGUU